GACAGAGGGUGCAAACGUUGUUCGGAAUACUGGCGUAAAGCGAGUGUAGGCGGUCUCAUAAGUCGGGUGUGAAAGCCCUGGGCUCAACCCAGGAAGUGCACUCGAAACUGCGAGGCUAGAGUAUCGGAGAGGUUGGUGGAAUUCUCGGUGUAGAGGUGAAAUUCGUAGAUAUCGAGAGGAACACCGGUGGCGAAGGCGGCCAACUGGACGAAUACUGACGCUGAGACUCGAAAGCGUGGGGAGCAAACGGG
rnacentral:rRNA from 1 species